UACGUAGGGAGCAAGCGUUGUUCGGAUUUACUGGGCGUAAAGGGCGCGUAGGCGGCAAAUUAAGUCAUCUGUGAAAUCUCCGGGCUUAACUCGGAACGGUCAGAUGAUACUGCUUUGCUAGAGUGCGGAAGGGGCAAUCGGAAUUCUUGGUGUAGCGGUGAAAUGCGUAGAUAUCAAGAGGAACACCUGAGGCGAAGACGGGUUGCUGGGCCGACACUGACGCUGAUGCGCGAAAGCCAGGGGAGCAAACGGG
rnacentral:rRNA from 1 species